rnacentral:rRNA from 1 species
AUUGAACGCUGGCGGCAGGCCUAACACAUGCAAGUCGAACGGUAACAGGAAGAAGCUUGCUUCUUUGCUGACGAGUGGCGGACGGGUGAGUAAUGUCUGGGAAACUGCCUGAUGGAGGGGGAUAACUACUGGAAACGGUAGCUAAUACCGCAUAACGUCGCAAGACCAAAAAGGGGGACCUUCGGGCCUCCUGCCAUCGGAUGUGCCCAGAUGGGAUUAGCUAGUAGGUGGGGUAACGGCUCACCUAGGCGACGAUCCCUAGCUGGUCUGAGAGGAUGACCAGCCACACUGGAACUGAGACACGGUCCAGACUCCUACGGGAGGCAGCAGUGGGGAAUAUUGCACAAUGGGCGCAAGCCUGAUGCAGCCAUGCCGCGUGUAUGAAGAAGGCCUUCGGGUUGUAAAGUACUUUCAGCGGGGAGGAAGGGAGUAAAGUUAAUACCUUUGCUCAUUGACGUUACCCGCAGAAGAAGCACCGGCUAACUCCGUG